AGGUUCAGAAACAUAACAAGAAAAAAUAACUGAGGUUGAGAACAGCAAAUGUGCACCUCGGAUCAGUGUUAUUAAAGGCGCCAGAGGCACUAGGUGAGGCGAGGCGCCUCUCUAGCACCUCGCCUGGCACUGCCUAGCUGCCUUCAAUAUGGCGAGCGCCUCCAGCGGGCAAGGCAAGGGGCUCCGAGGCGCUGAGGCGAAGCCUAUUUGAAGUAAAGUUUUUUUUUUUCUUUUUUAAUUGU
rnacentral:misc_RNA from 1 species